rnacentral:rRNA from 1 species
UACAGAGGGCGCGAGCGUUAAUCGGAAUUACUGGGCGUAAAGAGCGCGUAGGCGGUUAUGUAAGUCAGAUGUGAAAGACCUUGGCUUAACCAAGGAAUUGCAUUUGAUACUGCACAACUAGAGUAUGGUAGAGGAAAGUGGAAUUUCCGGUGUAGCGGUGAAAUGCGUAGAUACCGGAAGGAACACCAGUGACGAAGGCGACUUUCUGGACCAAUACUGACGCUGAGGCGCGAAAGCGUGGGGAGCAAAC